CCCUUAGAUGUUCUGGGCCGCACACGCGCUACACUGGCAGGUUCAUCGAACUUCAUGCCCUGAUCUGAGAAGAACGGGAAAUCUUUGAACACCUGCCGUGCUUGGGAUAGAUGUUUGCAAUUAUUCAUCUUCAACGAGGAUUGCCUUGUAAGCGCACGUCAUCAGCGUGCAUUGAAUACGACCCUGUAUUCUGUACACACCGCCCGUCGCUCCUACCGAUUGAAGUUUUCGGUGAAUUUACUGGAGAUCCCUUUUGAAGGUGGUUCGCCACUGGAAGAAGUAUUCAAAAGUAAAUGAAUCGAAUGCUUUAGAGGAAGGAGAAGUCGUAACA
rnacentral:rRNA from 1 species